UACUUCUUCGGACAAUAUACAAGGUGCUGCAUGGUUGUCGUCAGCUCGUGCCGUGAGGUGUCGGGUUAAGUCCCGCAACGAGCGCAACCCCUAUCUUUAGUUGCCAUCAGUUCGGCUGGGCACUCUAUGGAGACUGCCACCUAAAGUGGAGGAAGUGGGGAUGACGUCAAGUCAGCAUGGCCCUUACGUCCGGGGCUACACACGUGCUACAAUGGCCGGUACAAAGGGUUGCGAAGCCGUGAGGUGGAGCGAAAUCUCAAAAAGCCGGCCUCAGUUCGGAUUGGAGGCUGCAACUCGCCUCCAUGAAGUCGGAAUCGCUAGUAACCGCAGAUCAGCUACGUUGCGGUGAAUACGUUCCCGGGCCUU
rnacentral:rRNA from 1 species